UACAGAGGGUGCAAGCGUUGUUCGGAAUUACUGGGCGUAAAGCGCGUGUAGGUGGCGAUGUAAGUCGGAUGUGAAAUCCCUCGGCUCAACCGAGGAAGUGCACCCGAUACUGCGUCGCUUGAGUACUGGAGGGGAUGGCGGAAUUCCUGGUGUAGAGGUGAAAUUCGUAGAUAUCAGGAGGAACACCUGUGGCGAAGGCGGCCAUCUGGACAGUGACUGACACUGAGACGCGAAGGCGUGGGUAGCAAACAGG
rnacentral:rRNA from 1 species